rnacentral:lncRNA from 1 species
GGGGGGUGGCUGUGAUGUCACCGCUGGGAACCGGCGCCCGGCACUGAGUCACGGCGCGGCCACGGCACCCGACGGGGCCGUUCCCACGCUGUCCCCAUUCAUUCAUUCAUUGCUUUACUCAUUCAUUCAUUCGUUGCUUUACUCAUUCAUUCAUUCGUUUGUUUGUCCCCUCCCUCCCUCCGUCGCUCCCCGCCCCCCGCGUGUCCGCGGCUCCUCCCGGUCCGGGUGCCUCCAGAUCCAUCUGUCCCAGUUUAUCCCAGUCCCGGUGCCUCCAGAUCCAGUUGUCCCAGUUUAUCCCAGUCCUGCUUCCUCCAGAUCCAGUUGUCCCGGGUUAUCCUAGUGCCUCCAGAUCCAGUUGUCCCAGGUUAUCCCGGUCCCGGUGCCUCCAGACCCGGUUAUCCCGGGCUAUCCUGGUCCUCCAGACCCGGUUGCCCCGGGUUAUCCCAGUCCUGGUGCCUCCAGACCCAGUUGCCCCGGGUUAUCCUGGUCCCCCAGACCCGGUUGUCCCGGGUUAUCCCGGUCCCGGUGCCUCCAGACCCGGUUAUCCCGGGCUGUCCCUCUCCCGGCUUCUCCCUUUUCCCAUCACCACGCGGCGCUGCCGGCGCCGCCGCGCGCAGUAAACACUGCGUGUCGCCAUGGCGACGGCGUUCCGCGCCGCUGACGUCACCGCGUCCGGCGUCCUUUGUUUGCGUCGCCCGGCAACCGCCGUCCCCAUGGUAACGGGAGGAGAGGGGGGGCGGG